CUGCUCUCUAAAGUGGGUCCCUAUAAGAUAUUUUUCCAUGAUGUCUUUAAUACAGGUCCUCAAAUGGAGUUUGAGAGUGAGGUUGUAAAUGCAUAUCUCACAAAACUUGUGGAGAGGUACAAUAAAAACAACACCACAAGGGCAUUUGUGAUUGACACAUUUGAAAUGACAAGGAUUUGGGAGGGGAAGAAACUGAAAAUUAAGAUUGUACCACUGCUGCAUGAGUUUAUUUUGGGCGUGGUCAAUCAGGCCCAUCACUGGAUGCUGGUGGUGAUCUUACCAUCCAAAAAGACAACCCUGUUUCUGGACCCAUUGGGGGAAACAAAAAAGGCAGUCAGUCAGUGCAAGGAUGUCACAAGAUCCUUCAUGAGACACAGGGGGUUCAAUCCUUCAAGGUGGGCGUGUGAAACAAGAACCCACUCAAUUCAGCAAGAUGCCACGUCUUGCGGGGCUUUUGCAUUGAAGUUUGCUGAAGGCAUCUUGGAUGGGUUGCCUCUGGUGUUUGACACUUCACCAUCCAGUGUCAACAAUACAAGAGAGGAAAUUGCUGUUCAUCUCCUCAUGAAUACAGAUGACCUGACAAACCUCUGUCAUCUCUGUGGGGAGUACGCAGGGGACACUUUGUGGAUCGGGUGUGAUGUGUGUCCAAGAUGGUACCACAAAAGCUGUGCAAAAUACCCCAACAAAGGAAAGUCAUAUCUGUGUGAAGCUUGCAAAUAGUGUGUGUGUGUGUGUGUGUGUGUGUGUGUGUGUGUGUGUGUGUGUGUGUGUGUGUGUGUGUGGAUGACAGAGUGGAUGUCUGUCUGCCACUUGGUCAGUCAUUUGGCUGUU